UACGUAGGGGGCAAGCGUUGUCCGGAAUCAUUGGGCGUAAAGAGCGUGUAGGCGGCCCGGUAAGUCCGCUGUGAAAGUCCAGGGCUCAACCCUGGGAUGCCGGUGGAUACUGUCGGGCUCGAGUCCGGAAGAGGAGUGUGGAAUUCCUGGUGUAGCGGUGAAAUGCGCAGAUAUCAGGAAGAACACCCGUGGCGAAGGCGGCUCUCUGGGACGUGACUGACGCUGAGGUGCGAAAGCGUGGGGAGCAAACAGG
rnacentral:rRNA from 1 species